AGGCAUCCAUGUCAUCUUAGCAGCUUCUGCCUUGCAAGAAGGAAUGGGUUUGUUUUGCUUUUAGCAAAAAGCAAGGGACCCUUUAGAACUUUGAUCCUUCGGGCUCCCAAUUGAAUUCUUCUACAAGAGUUUCCUUGGAAGGUCCCACAGGUUAAUGACUUAAGAUUCUCCCUAUCAAGCCCAUAAAAUGGGCCACUGGGGAAUGGCUGGGGAAUGCUGAGGAAACUAGGACUUGAAGAAAAUAUUGCUCCUGCCUCUGGCCAAGCUAUGGAAGUCUGUCACCUGACCCUGCCCAUCCAGCAAGCAAGAUUCCUCAGGCAAAACAUAACUCCUGCCCCUCCCACGAAUGCUGAACAUUCUGUUUUUUGCCCUGAGGAAGAAACUGGUAAAAACUGCCUUAUCUUCUCCCCGUGGCACACCCUCUUCCUUGCAAAACCAUGGAAUUGGGUGACAUUAUCUGAGUCUGUGUGGUUUAGCAGGGCUCAAUAUCAAGCUUUAAAUUGUUUUCAGAUACACAUUGGAGUGCAGCCUGUGUUCUCCUGGGUGACGUGAAGGGAAGCCACUGAGCUCCAAAUUUCAGCAAGCUGUUUUUCCAUACACUUCUGAUCAUCUUAACUCAAGUGACCUAUUUCCGUUCCUGUCCUAGGCAGGCAUGAAGCUCUCUUAGAAGUACAUAAACUAGUUCAGACAGGCAUGCCCAUUAGGGCAUGGGAAAGGGAAAGUUCCCAGAAAUUUCUGCCAUCAAAUUACGAAGGCUAACCCCCUCCUUUAGUAGAUUCAGUCAGUCAUCCAUUGCUUCAUUCAAUAAAUAUUAAUAGAGAACCUAUUGUGUGCUGAGCUCUCUGACAGAUGAGGUUCCUGAUCUCCUGGAGCCUACAUUCUAGCAGAGGGAAACAGACAAUCAAGAAACAAACAAGGACUUCUCCAGUGGUCCAGUGGUUAAGACUCCACACUCCCAAUACAGGGGACAUGGGUUCAGUCUCUGGUCAAGGAAGAUCCCGCAUGCUGCACAGCCAUAACAAAGAGGCAAACAAACAACAGCAGCAUCAGGUAGUGAGGAACUGAGGCUACAAGACAGGAAGAGACUUGCCCAACAUUGUAUUGUCCAUGUCUUCUCUCUGUCUCUCAGUUUUUCAUUGAAUAUAUUUUGAGUGUCAAGUAUCUUCUAUGUGCCAGGCACAGUGCUAGACAAUGAAGAUACAAGAUAAAUAGGACAGACAGGGUUCCUGUCCUUACAGAGUUUAUAGUAUAAUCAGGGAGUG
ensembl:lncRNA